GGGUGUGGGGCACUGACUUUACCGGGCUGGACAGGGAGAGGGGUUCCCUUCCUCUGACUUGCUGAAAGGAGUACGGAGUGCUACCGACUAGCACACGUGGGGGCUCUGGGGGUGCUGUGGGCAGCCUUGUCGCCGUGCCCACGUGCGAGCGCAGUCACCCCUGGCUUGAAGCAUCCCUCGGUCCACUCUGGGCGCUCCUCGCAGGGACCUUCAGCGACUGCCGGACGGAGAACGGGGUGUUUGGGGCGCACCCCGGCCCGCAAAGCGCCGGGGAGGACAACAAAGGGAAGCGUGGACGGAGGAAGAGCUUCGCGGUGCCGGGGAGUCGGGGCCCGAGCCCGCGGCAGCUGCUGAAACUCGCCCCUGCCCCAUCGCGUGGAAGAAGGUUUUCCCAGGUUCCGGAGACUGGCGUCUGAGCUUGGUUAAUUACAGCAGGUUGCCUGAGCCGGAUGACCGUUUUCGAAAGACUUGAAUGUAGGCAACUUCCUAUUAUUCAACGUAUGUGAACUUAGGACUUUGGAUCUUCUCCCACUUUUGUUGAGUUUCCUUUGUCAGCGGCGGCCGCGGCGGAGCUGAGGCUGCUGCUCUUGGCAGGGGCGGCCCAGACCCUCUGUUGACUGCCAGGUGUGUGUGCGGCCAGGUCCUGUACCUGUAUGCCAUCGCCAGCACUCCCCCCCCCUGCCAUUCAAAACCCCAUUUUACAUCAGCGAUGAGAACCAGAACCACUCGGGGACUGUAAACAACUGCUUGUCACUCGGGUCAUCAGUGAGACUAGAGACUUCCUCCUCUUAAAAGCCAGGGCCCUCUGUUCUCUGCUGCAGUGCCUUUUAAUUUAGUUUUCUUAAUUUAUACCAUUUAAAAAAUGAACUUCCUUAUGAGUUCCAGGCUUCCCUGAUAGCUCAGCUGGUAGAGAAUCUGCCUGCAGUGCAGGAGACCCCGGAUUGAUUCCUGGAUCUGGAAGAUCCCCUGGAGAAGGAACAGGUGACCCACUCUAGUAUUCUGGGCUGGAGAAUUCCAUAGACUGCAUAGACCAUGGGGUCAAAAAGAGUGGGACACAACUGAGUGACUUUCACUUUCACUUUAUGAGUUCCAUGCUGGACUAUUCCUGUGUUUCUAGUGUGGUGAAGCAAAGUGCAUCAAAGGACAGGUACAAAAUAACAGCAAAUAUUGUUUUCUUGGGACCAUUUACAGUAUGAAGGAAGUCAGUUUGUAGGGAUCAAGAGUUCACACAGAUUAGUUCAAGGUCAGGAUGCAUUGUUACAAAUGACUGAAAGCAAUUCUGUAUAAUUAUAGCAGAAAAGAGACUGGAUACUGGGUGGCUUAGUGAUGGGACUAGGAUGGCUAGCCAAGCUUGGGAGCCCAGAGGAGUGGACGCGGGGCUUGCAGCAGGAUUCCUGAUGGGCGAACGGCCGUGGCUGCCAUGAGGCUCUGACUGUGGCUGCUCACACGUUGCCAUCAUUGAAGCAGAAACUGCCUCUGCUGCCCUGUGUCUCAUGCACAAGCCCAGAAGUGAGCCUCUGAUUGGCUGAGCCUGGGCUCAGUUUGGGUACCUCAGUAGCUUCCCAGGUAGCUGGGGUGGGUUGCCAUUUCCUUCUCUAGGGGAUCUUCCUGACCCAAGGGUUGAACCCAGGACUCCUGUACUGCAGGCAGACUCUACCAUCUGAGCCACCAGGGCUCUUUCCCAGGUGGCACCAGUGGUCAAUGCAGGAGACACAAGAGAUGUAGGCUAGAUCCCUAGGUUGGAAAGAUCCCCUGGAGGAGGGCAUGGCAACACACUCUAGUAUUCUUGCCUGGAAAACCCCAUGGACAGAGGAGCCUGGCAGACUACAGUCUACGGGGUCCCAAAGAGUCAGACAGAUCUUAGUGACUUAGCAUGCACACAUCCUUACUGAGUGCCUACUAUGUGCCAGGCUCUAAGGGCACCAAGAUGGGGAAGUCAGGGGCCCCACAAAGCUACUGGGCUUGGUCAGCUCAGUGCAAUCAAAGAAAGAUAUUUGGGGAGGUUUCGCUUCACGUCUGUUGUUCUGCAGUUGUGUUUGGGAGGAUGGAGGUGUCUUUGGAAAGCAGCAUGGAUUAGUCAGGAACAGUGCUGGUUCUCAAGGCUUCAUUGUCUAAGCAUCAUUCACCAAGGGAGGGUGCUAAAAAUGCAGAUUAUUGGGCCACAUGUCCAGAAAUGCAGUCUGAUAAUCUCAUUUGAAACAAAGACCCAGUUUUACCCAGAUGCAGCUCUUGGAUCUGGAGCCAUCCUGGGGUUUGUGCGGGCAGUUCCCUGACGGCUCUCAGUGGCUCUUGCUACCGAGUGUGCCAAAGUACCCAGACCUUGAAAGCACAGCAAUUCGAACUGAGACAAAAACUUCUUCCUUGUCACCUUAACUUUUAUCUGUAGUCUAGUGUUUUAUAAGUAAUGAGGUUUCGAAAUGUUCUUAGAAGUGGCUCCAGAAGUUAAGAGGGACCUCCACUCGGGAGCAGGACGCAUGCGCUGCUCGGGAGCUGCCCUGACCCAGUGGACGCCCCAUCUUCGCCUUUCCUGACGGAUCUCUCCAGCCCGCUCUUCGCUGAGUAUGGCUGGAGUCUGUUUAUUCACAGCUCUCCCGUGGGCCUCCUGCCAUCUCCCCUUGCUGUGUUUCUCUCUGUCCCCAGCGGAGCCUUGGUGGCGUUAUCGGGAAGUCAGCCUUUCUUAGCGGCUGAGCCUUUAAUCCUUUCAGCUGCUGUGCUCCUGCGUGUCCUCUAGCAGAAAACAGGACACGUGUGCGGUGUGUGCACGUCCGCCUGUGGAGUGUAUGCACCUGGGGUGUUCUGUGUGUGUUGUGUCUAUGUGAGUUUUGUGUCAGUGUCAGAGCCCAAGCCGUGUGUGUGCACAUCCGUCUGUGGAGUGUAUGCACCUAGGGUGUUGCAUGUGUGUUGUGUGUAUGUGAGUUGUGUGUCAGUGUGCGUGCCUGAGUUGUGUGUGUGAUUUGUGUUUGUGUGCAUGUCUGCCUGUGGAGUGUGUUCCGUGUGCGUUGUGUAUAAGUGAGUUGUGUGUCAGUGUGAGUACCUGAGUUGUGUGAGUGAUGUGCGUGCAUGUCCGCCUGCC
ensembl:lncRNA